UCCGCCUGGGUACUACGACCGCAAGGUUGAAACUCAAAGGAAUUGACGGGACCCCCCACAAGCGGUGGAACAUGUGGUUUAAUUCGAUGCAACGCGAAGAACCUUACCUGGGCUUGACAUGUAGGUGAAAGUUUUUUGAAAGCAGAACCCUCUGCGAGCUUGCUCAAAGACACCUUCACAGGUGGUGCAUGGCUGUCGUCAGCUCGUGUCGUGAGAUGUUGGGUUAAGUCCCGCAACGAGCGCAACCCCCUUUCUUAGUUGCCAGCACGUUAUGGUGGGGACUCUAAGGAUACCGCCUGGGACAACCAGGAGGAAGGUGGGGAUGAUGUCAAGUCAGUAUGUCCCUUAUGUCCAGGGCUACACACGUGUUACAAUGGCAAGUACAAUGGGUCGCCAACCCGCGAGGGGGAGCUAAUCCCAAAAAACUUGCCUCAGUUCAGAUUGGAGUCUGCAACUCGACUCUAUGAAGGAGGAAUCGCUAGUAAUCGUGGAUCAGCACGCCACGGUGAAUACGUUCCCGGGUCUUGUACACACCGCCCGUCACGCCAUGGAAGUCAGCAGUACCCAAAGCCGGUGGCCUAACCUUCGGGAGGGAGCCGUUUAAGGUAAGGCUGGUAACUGGGGCGAAGUCGUAACAAGGUAACCA
rnacentral:rRNA from 1 species